rnacentral:lncRNA from 1 species
ACUUUUCCGAAAAAGAACACCCCCUGCGGUGGAUCAGACCGCCGGUGUACGUGAAAAUGCACUCGAGCUGUGGCGAUCAAUGCAGAUAUGAUCAAUAGCCAACCGUCGGCAACCAGCCGACAAUCACCGCCCCUCGGGGCAAACCGACCAAUAGGUCGUCAGACUAUAUAGAAGCACAAGAACCGACCACUCAGGUCCACUAGAAUGGAACAACUCAACAUCCUACCGAAGGUAUACAAGCACCGAUACUAAAGUCAACUAACAUAUAUGCAUGACGAACCAACGAAUAGGUCACCAGAGUAUAUCACUAGAAUCCCGAAUUACCGUCGACCACUAGCCGACAAUCCAACCCCUUAGGGUACACCGACCACAUAGGUCAUCAACGACAUGACUCACGAAGCUGACAGACUAGGUCAAAAAUAUACCAAAUAGUAGAACUGACUAAUCCAGUACAUAAUGCAACAACCGACCAACCAAGUCAACAGAUAUGAGAUAAAAGCACCGAUCAACUAGGUCAUCGAAUGAAGUGCGAGAACCGACCAAUCAGGUCACCAAAACGAAGUACGAGAACCGACCACUCAGGUCACAGGUAUCACAUAUGGAUAAACUACUCUACUCCUACACAUUAUACUAAGGAUAGAAACAUAUGAGUAGAGUAAACAGAAACAACAGGAAUGUAAGCUCAAUAUAUAAUACGAUAAUAACAACAGGAGAACGGGGAUAGAAGAAAUGUCACCGAGCGUGCACCACUGUACCGACUUCGAAUCGAAGUACCCACCUGUACGAAUGUCGCGCCUGUCUCCUAACUGCG